rnacentral:lncRNA from 1 species
UCACAUUUAUUUCACAUUCCUUCCAUACUAACUCUUCUCCUUGCAUGUAGACAGACUUGUGGCUGCUUUCAAUGACUUCUGAAGUUAGGUCAUUAAAAGUCAUACAUUCUUUGCCUAGUAAUCUUGGGUUACUCACUCAUGAGAGGCCAAGCUCUAUCUAGGAAGUUCAACUACUCGAGACUGUCAUGCUGUAAUAAUUCAGGCAUGAGGACACCUUCCUGUGUGUGCAAAACCUCUCGUAUUUUUCAGUGUGGCUCCCGCACAAAUGAACCAUGUUCUUCGCCUAAGUCAUUUAUGGAACAUCUGCUUUCGGUUUAGCAUCAGGGGAAACAAAGCAAAGAAGAAUGACACCGAAGAAUCAAAAAUAAAAUGAGCAUAAGACCCAUCAAGAUUAUAGACACAUACAUUCCUAAAAUUGAACAUUAAGCAGAAUAAAAAUAAUCCCAGAUUA